AAAUUUAGGUUAUCAAACCAAGAGCCUUCAAAGCCCUAAACAGAACAAACGUUCUAAUUUCUG
rnacentral:tRNA from 1 species